rnacentral:lncRNA from 1 species
GUUUUACUUGGAGAUGGUAUAAUAUUUAUGUCUUCAUCAUUCCAAUGAUCCUUAAUGAUAUGUGCAUAGAAAAUGUCAUCAAAAAUAGCGGGAAAUUUAACUAAAAAAUAUAUUUUUGGAUUUUAAGGUAACUACCCAAAACCGUAAAUUGAGGGGUACCCCCAUUAAAGGGAUAAAAUACAAAAAUGUGACCACAGAAACUUUUUACGACCCGAC